ACGCAUGCAGGGCUUUAAGAGCCCACUCCUGUGUGAGACCCAUUGCUUUUUGGGAACUUCAAGCUCAGAUCCAUCUGCUUCCCACCAGACCUUACAAAUCCUAAUGGGAUUAUCUUUGUCAAACAUGACGUAUUGUCAUGCUAUCUUACCAUUGCUCCACACAAUGCUUUCAUCAUUUGUUUGUUUGUUUGUUUGUUUAUGUGUUUUGCUUUGUUUUCUGUGGCUUUGGUUUGCCAGUUCUGAAAUGUGGGAUUUUAAAAAAAAAAUUUAUUUUUUUUUCCCCUGGAGUGUUUAGAAAUGCUUGUCUAAGAAAGUACUACUAAUGCUAUUCUCACUUACUCUACUACGUAGCCAAAUCCAGGCCAGCACUGUGAACUGUUUUCUUUUUACUGUCACACACUGGCAAUGUAGUGUGAGAUAGCUGACACUGAGGAUGUUUCUCCCUUUUGCUUUAGGUUUUUGGUAUUCUUUUUCUCAACAACAACAGUAUCUGGAAGCAAAGCAAGGGAUUUACUUAAGGCACAUUUGAGUUAGGCAGGGUAGUGCAAACACUGUCAUUUCUACUAAUGUUUUCCUCCAGAUUUUAAAACCGUGAAAAACAUUCCAUAUUUUAGAUAGGGAAACAGUGCCAGAAGAAAUUGACUUGUCAUUUGAUAAGUCUUAUGAUUAGUGUAAUAAAUUAAAUGGGUUGGGAUUUUUGCAAAUGAGGAAUCAGCUUUUGAUUGCUCAGUAAUUGACUAGAGUAACCAUCCGCCAAUAGCUGAUGGUUCAUUUCAUUUAAGUGAGUGAAGCUACUUUAUGAGCAAAAUAUGCUGGCCAGUGGUGAGUCUGUGCUACAGACAAGGUGAGUAGAUGGACAAUCAAUGGCUUAUUGGGGCUAUAAUGCACUGUAUUAAAAAAUUUAUGUAGCUUUUACUGUAAGCCAAAGUAGAAACAGUGUAAGGUGAUUUUUGGUUUGGUUUUGUUUUGUUUUUGUUUUUAGUAGUGAAAUAGAAGUUCCUUCUGCAAUAAAGCCAGUAACACUUUUCGUCACAAGGUGGUAGCAGAUGUGAACAUUGUAUCAUUUCAAGCAGUGUUCAACAAACAGGUUUUAAGAUACGCUCGGAUAAAGGAAGUUUUGUGCUAAAGAUCCACACUGGUAAUAAAAAAGCCCAGCAUACCUUUUAAGUUUAUGGAGCAGUUACUUAUGCUUCCUGCGGGUGUUAAUAAUUGGCCUUUUAGUCCCUACUGC
ensembl:lncRNA